rnacentral:lncRNA from 1 species
GGCGCUGCCGCACUGCGAGCGCUGCCAACUGCGAUCCCCGGGACGGGCGCUGUGCUCUGGCACCGGGUGCUCCCGGAGAGGCUUUGCGUUCGGUUGGCUUUUUUUGCCCAAGUUUUCUUACAAGGAAUUCAGUGGAGGAGCGCAGUGCGGGCGGUGCCGUGCCGUCCCUAUCUCUGCACGCGGGGUGCCGGCAGCCAGAUCGUGGCUAAAUAUAGAAGCUCCGUCGCCCCGCAGCUGCUCAUUUGCAAUUUGUUCUGCGCGUAAAAUCUCUUAACGCU